GGUCCGUUGGCCCAAUGGUAAGGCGUCUGACUACGACUUCACGAGAAGAGUCAAUCAGGAGAUUCUGGGUUCGAGCCCCAGGCGGACCU
rnacentral:tRNA from 1 species